rnacentral:rRNA from 1 species
UACGAAGGGGGCUAGCGUUGCUCGGAAUCACUGGGCGUAAAGGGUGCGUAGGCGGGUCUUUAAGUCAGGGGUGAAAUCCUGGAGCUCAACUCCAGAACUGCCUUUGAUACUGAAGAUCUUGAGUUCGGGAGAGGUGAGUGGAACUGCGAGUGUAGAGGUGAAAUUCGUAGAUAUUCGCAAGAACACCAGUGGCGAAGGCGGCUCACUGGACCGGCAUUGACGCUGAGGUGCGAAAGCGUGGGGAGCAAACAGG